GACGAAGGGGGCUAGCGUUGUUCGGAAUUACUGGGCGUAAAGCGCGCGUAGGCGGUUGUCGUAGUCAGGUGUGAAAGCCUUGAGCUCAACUCAAGAAAUGCACUUGAUACUGGGCAGCUAGAGGACCGGAGAGGAUAGUGGAAUUCCCAGUGUAGUGGUGAAAUACGUAGAGAUUGGGAAGAACACCAGUGGCGAAGGCGGCUAUCUGGACGGUUUCUGACACUAAGACUCGAAAGCGUGGGGAGCAAACAGG
rnacentral:rRNA from 1 species